AUGCAAUUGGAGGAGGGGGAUCAUGCAGUUAUUUUUCAGGACACAAUAACACACAGAGAAAAUCUGCAAUGUCAAUAGUGUGCGUGGGGGACAUCGACAAAAGCACUUAAGUGAUCUAUUCGGCGGCCAAAUCCGAAACAGAUGUAGAUAAAC